UCGAUUAGUUUGAUCAUGGCUCAGGACGAACGCUGGCGGCGCGCUUAACACAUGCAAGUCGAGCGAGAACCAGUCCUUCGGGGCUGGGGAAAGCGGCGAACGGGUGAGUAACACGUGAGUAAUCCACCCUUGGUACCGGGAUAGCCCGGGGAAACUCGGAUUAAUACCGGAUGGCCCGACAGCCUCUCGAGGCGGUUGGAAAAGGUAGCUUCGGCCUCCGACCAAGGACGAGCUCGCGGCGGAUUAGCUUGUUGGUGGGGUAACGGCCUACCAAGGCGACGAUCCGUAGCUGGUCUGAGAGGACGAUCAGCCACACUGGGACUGAGACACGGCCCAGACUCCUACGGGAGGCAGCAGUGGGGAAUCUUGCACAAUGGGCGAAAGCCUGAUGCAGCGACGCCGCGUGCGGGAAGAAGGCCUUCGGGUUGUAAACCGCUUUCAGGAGGGACGAAGCCACUCGGGUUAAUAGCCCAGAGGGUGACGGUACCUCCAGAAGAAGCCCCGGCUAACUACGUGCCAGCAGCCGCGGUAAUACGUAGGGGGCAAGCGUUGUCCGGAUUUAUUGGGCGUAAAGAGCGUGUAGGCGGCCAAAUAGGUCGGUUGUGAAAACUGGAGGCUUAACCUCCAGACGUCGACCGAAACCAUCUGGCUAGAGUCCGGAAGAGGAGAGUGGAAUUCCUGGUGUAGCGGUGAAAUGCGCAGAUAUCAGGAAGAACACCCGUGGCGAA
rnacentral:rRNA from 1 species